GAGUUUGAUCAUGGCUCAGGAUGAACGCCGACAGAAUGCUUAACACAUGCAAGUCUACUUGAUCCUUCGGGUGAAGGUGGCGGACGGGUGAGUAACGCGUAAAGAACUUGCCUUACAGACUGGGACAACAUUUGGAAACGAAUGCUAAUACCGGAUAUUAUGAUUGGGUCGCAUGAUCUGGUUAUGAAAGCUAUAUGCGCUGUGAGAGAGCUUUGCGUCCCAUUAGUUAGUUGGUGAGGUAACGGCUCACCAAGACGAUGAUGGGUAGCCGGCCUGAGAGGGUGAACGGCCACAAGGGGACUGAGACACGGCCCUUACUCCUACGGGAGGCAGCAGUGGGGAAUAUUGGACAAUGGACCAAAAGUCUGAUCCAGCAAUUCUGUGUGCACGAUGAAGUUUUUCGGAAUGUAAAGUGCUUUCAGUUGGGAAGAAGUCAGUGACGGUACCAACAGAAGAAGCGACGGCUAAAUACGUGCCAGCAGCCGCGGUAAUACGUAUGUCGCAAGCGUUAUCCGGAUUUAUUGGGCGUAAAGCGCGUCUAGGCGGCUUAGUAAGUCUGAUGUGAAAAUGCGGGGCUCAACCCCGUAUUGCGUUGGAAACUGCUAAACUAGAGUACUGGAGAGGUAGGCGGAACUACAAGUGUAGAGGUGAAAUUCGUAGAUAUUUGUAGGAAUGCCGAUGGGGAAGCCAGCCUACUGGACAGAUACUGACGCUAAAGCGCGAAAGCGUGGGUAGCAAACAGGAUUAGAUACCCUGGUAGUCCACGCCGU
rnacentral:rRNA from 1 species